GUUGACAUCCAGAGAACUUAGCAGAGAUGCUUUGGUGCCUUCGGGAACUCUGAGACAGGUGCUGCAUGGCUGUCGUCAGCUCGUGUUGUGAAAUGUUGGGUUAAGUCCGCAACGAGCGCAACCCUUAUCCUUUGUUGCCAGCGGUUCGGCCGGGAACUCAAAGGAGACUGCCGGUGAUAAACCGGAGGAAGGUGGGGAUGACGUCAAGUCAUCAUGGCCCUUACGGCCAGGGCUACACACGUGCUACAAUGGCGCAUACAAAGAGAAGCGACCUCGCGAGAGCAAGCGGACCUCAUAAAGUGCGUCGUAGUCCGGAUUGGAGUCUGCAACUCGACUCCAUGAAGUCGGAAUCGCUAGUAAUCGUAGAUCAGAAUGCUACGGUGAAUACGUUCCCGGGCCUUGUACACACCGCCCGUCACACCAUGGGAGUGGGUUGCAAAAGAAGUAGGUAGCUUAACCUUCGGGAGGGCGCUUACCACUUUGUGAUUCAUGACUGGGGUGAAGUCGUAACAAGGUAAGCGUAGACGU
rnacentral:rRNA from 1 species